rnacentral:rRNA from 1 species
GACAGAGGGGGCAAGCGUUGCUCGGAAUCACUGGGCAUAAAGCGCGCGUAGGCGGGUUUCCAAGUCGGUUGUGAAAUCCCUCAGCUCAACUGAGGAACUGCAUCCGAUACUGUUUGUCUUGAGGACGAGAGGGGAGAGUGGAACUUCUGGUGAAGCGGUGAAAUGCGUAGAUAUCGAGAGGAACACCUGCGGCGAAGGCGGGUUGCUGGGCUGACACUGACGCUGAGUGCGACGA